GAUGAACGCUAGCUACAGACUUAACACAUGCAAGUCGAGGGGUAACGAGAGGAAAGCUUGCUUUCCUUGUCGACGACCGGCGCACGGGCGAGUAACACGUAUCCAACCUGCCUCCAACUAAGGAGUAACCUUGCGAAAGUAAGACUAAUACCUUAUAAUUUCCUCAGAUGUCAUCUGACGAGGAAUAAAGAUUUAUCGGUUGUGGAUGGGGAUGCGUCUGAUUAGCUUGUUGGCGGGGUAACGGCCCACCAAGGCAACGAUCAGUAGGGGUUCUGAGAGGAAGGUCCCCCACAUUGGAACUGAGACACGGUCCAAACUCCUACGGGAGGCAGCAGUGAGGAAUAUUGGUCAAUGGGCGAAAGCCUGAACCAGCCAAGUAGCGUGCAGGAUGACGGCCCUAUGGGUUGUAAACUGCUUUUAUACAGGAAUAAAGUUAGCCACGUGUGGUUAUUUGUAGGUACUGUAUGAAUAAGGACCGGCUAAUUCCGUGCCAGCCGCCGCAGUAA
rnacentral:rRNA from 1 species